rnacentral:miRNA from 14 species
GAUCUUGUAAUGGCUUCAAUUCCGUAGUGCAUUGCAGUGUAUUUUUUCACCUACUGCAAGCAAUGUGGAAGUGAAGCUGAUUGCAAUGGAAAGCGC